rnacentral:rRNA from 1 species
GGUGAACGCUGGCGGUAGGCCUAACACAUGCAAGUCGAACGGCAGCACAGUAAGAGCUUGCUCUUACGGGUGGCGAGUGGCGGACGGGUGAGGAAUACAUCGGAAUCUACUUUUUCGUGGGGGAUAACGUAGGGAAACUUACGCUAAUACCGCAUACGACCUACGGGUGAAAGCAGGGGAUCUUCGGACCUUGCGCGAUUGAAUGAGCCGAUGUCGGAUUAGCUAGUUGGCGGGGUAAAGGCCCACCAAGGCGACGAUCCGUAGCUGGUCUGAGAGGAUGAUCAGCCACACUGGAACUGAUACACGGUCCAGACUCCUACGGGAGGCAGCAGUGGGGAAUAUUGGACAAUGGGCGCAAGCCUGAUCCAGCCAUACCGCGUGGGUGAAGAAGGCCUUCGGGUUGUAAAGCCCUUUUGUUGGGAAAGAAAAGCAGCAGGUUAAUACCCCGCUGUUCUGACGGUACCCAAAGAAUAAGCACCGGCUAACUUCGUG